CAGAUCUCUCUUUGAUAUAUUAAUUACAUUUUUAAAGACACUGUCUCCAAAUACAGUCACAUUCUGAGGUAGUGGAGAUUAGGGCUUCCACACACAAAUUUGGGGGGACACAAUUCAGUCCAUAACAGGAAGGGUAAAGGAUUCAGUAAAAUAGAUAUUUCCUUCUCUCCAGACCUGGGUUUCCAGGAGUCUGGGAUGACUGACAUUUGAUGCUGACUUUUUGCUGGGCUAUUUGAGGGGAAUUUAACAAUGGAGAAAAAUGUGAGAGGGAGCACUUCAUGUGGGGAGAGCCAUGCUGUGUAAUAUGACUUUGUCAGGAGCCCAUUUCCGGAUGUUACCUGUGGUGUUUGCACAGCUGUUCUGUCAUUGUACUCCUUGGCAGCCUGAAGGCUGAUUUCCUGGUGAAUUUUCACCUAAUUUCCUUUGCAUCUGCCUUAUAAGUGAUAGUUUCAUGUCUGAACUUUAAAAAUGGCAUCAGCCAGAAUGCUGAUUUAUUAAUUUACAAUGAGAAAUGUAAUCAUUGAGUGGACUGGGUACUCCAGUUUCUUGUCCAGCAUGUGCUUUCCCUGCAGGCAAAUGUAAGUGGGAAGCCAAAUUAUCAUCAGAAGGUGGCUUGGUGAGCAUGGAAUCAGGCCAGGGGAGUUAGGGAUGAGAUUUGGCAUUCCCUUGCUUUUUAUUCUUUGGGCCAAGCAGUGCCGAGCAGCAUAGACUGGCAGCACAUGCUGGCUGCCUCUGCCUCUGCUACUCUUCCUGACUUGCCAUUGCCUCCUCUGGCAAACUCAGCAAGCAGGACUCAGCUCAACCAUCUCUGCCUCGGAGAAGCCUUUCUUCAUUUCCCCAGACAGAGGAGGUCUCUCUUCUUCCUUACCCCUGUGGUACUUUAUGCUAAGUAUGUAUUUGGCAUCCUGUGUUUUGGUUAUUUAUUUACUCACCUGUCUUCUCCACUGAACUCAGAGAAACUUAAGUGAAGGGAUUUAAUUGUGUUUACUGUAUACAAUGCAAGUGGUCAGUGUUCAAUAACUACUAACUGCUUAAUAGAAGUUAUCAUUAUGGUAAUUCACAUUACGAUGGGGGUUUAUAUAUAUUUGUUUUUGUUUUUGCUUUAUGUUUUAAUACGCUUUCCAGUAAGUUGCUCAUAAGACAUGAUCUUACAUUGCACUAAUAGCUAUGAGGUGAGAUAGGCAGGUAGGCACCAGUAUCAGAUGACAACAUACUUAGAGGUUAAGUGAUUUGUCAAUCAAUUAAAGGCACUUUCCACCAAACCUGCUUAUCUUGAGAACUGGGUCUCCUCUCCCCUGAGUUCUCCCUGUUCUUGCCCUGUGGGUUGAUACUUAGAGCUUAAGCCUUUCUCCCACAUCCUUAGUUUUCCUCUUUCCUCCUCCUUAGGAGCCUGGAGCUCUCUGAGUGCUUGGUAUUCUCUCUUUAAAAGGACCUUCCUUCUCAGCCCUGUCUUACUGGGGAGGAUUCUGCACUUGAAAAUCCUGCUCUUUCCUCUUUGACCACCCAUUUUCUCCUCAUGCAUUUCCCUUCUAAUUUCCAGGUCAAACUCUGAUUCCCUCAGACAUUUAGUCUUGUGAAGAAAGCAAUGUGAUUAAAUUUAAUUUACACUAAGAUGCUAAUAACAUCCUCAGGGUAUUUGCAUAUUAAGAUUUUAAGAGUGAAUUCCUUUAGCAAUGUUCUGAAAGCUGGCUACAUGUUACCAUGUUGGCAUUUCUCUCUCCCUCUCUCUGUGUCUCCACACACACACACACAAAAACACACAAGUGUGCACACACACACAUUUAAUUUUGUUUACUCCGUAUUUGGUAAAAUUUCCUGGGCCCUUAGAAACUAUUUCUCUUUUUAUGUUUUUAAAAGAAAUUUCUAUACUUUGCAGUCCAGAUGCUACCAUGAAUUUCUUCAGACCAUCAGCAACUAGUCAUUAUAACCUUUGGGGAGAUACAGCGCUUCACCAGUGAGUCAUUAGCUUUUGGGCCUAGAGAACAAAUCUGAAGGACCUUUUCAUAUCUCAUAACUAAAUACAUUCUGCAGCUUGCAGAUAAACAUGCUGAUCUGACAGCGAGUUAAGGAGGUUUAUCAGCAUUUGUGCACCUGCAGCGUUACACUAAAAGACAUGACUUCAUUAAAACUCACUGUGCUUGUGAGAACAAUGAGGACUGGUGGUAGGUGUUAAAAAGAAAGACACUACUAGAUGGCGGCUUUAAGCUCAUCUUUGAAGGGAUGAACUCAUUCUAUCCGACAUGUCCAGCUGUGCAAACAGCAGCACCGAGUGAGCUGCAGUUAGCUGUACUAAUACAUAGGAUUAGAACAGAGGCCGGGCCACAUACAAAUGAUGCGAAUGCUUAAUAUACUUGAACACUAUGAAUGCUGCACAGAGGGGGAAUAAGAGCCCCAGAAGUGACAGAAGAUAUUUUGCUAACUGUCAUAAAAAAGAGUAUGUUAGGGCCUUCUAGGAACAUUUCUCUUGCUGGUGACUUUUGCCUUUUGAGGCCAGUGUUUUCUUAGAUGAAAAAACAAUACAAAACAUCGAUCUCUCAAAAAACUUCACAGGGAAAUAACAAGGGUUGCCACAGUUACCAUUGUUCUCUCAUAAAAUUCCAGAAUGAGAAAACCGUGGGGUGUGUGUGUGUGUGUGUGUGUGUAUGCAUCUGUGUGUGUAUGUGAAUGUGUAUUUGGGCUUCAUCUGCAAUAGCAACUUAAGCUCAGAAUAAGUGAAUGGGUUGUCAAGGUGGACAUUAGCAGUGAGAGACCAAGAGUCUGGACAACAGGGAUUCAGUGAUUGGGCUAGAAGACCCAGUCAUGAAGGUCAUAGUGUGAAAACUUCCAUUUGGAAAUCUGGGAGCAGUUCUUAAGUCAAAAAACAGACCUGGAAUCACAGUAUCCAUACAUACCAGUUGGAGGACAAAAGACAUUGCCCCAGAGACCAGAGGCACCAAAAUACACUACACCUAGCUACCUGAGAAUGCCUCUAGCUGGCAACUCCAGCAAAGGCCCUUUUCCCCAUCCUUGACCAUCUUGAGUGAAAGCAAAGAACUGAAAGAUUGAAAAAUCUGAGACUGAGCGUUCCUUCCUGGAGAGACUCGUACCAUAUCAACCAGAUUGGAUAUGUAUUUAUUUUUCUUUUCUGCCAUUCAGCAUGUGGCAAAGACCCAUUUAGUUAUAAACAAAAUAAAAGAGGUUGUAUUUAUAAAAUUUUGCACAUCUAAGUUGUAGUAUGUAUUAAGUUUGUAUCCUUGUUAUAUGUGAUUCCCUGCUGUGGCCCAGCAGAUAAUAUAAACACUGUAUUUUAUAGACCCCAAAUUUAAUACUGGAAUCUUAAGCAAACAAAGUCUUUCUCACACAUUUUAUCGUAUUUGUCACUAAAAGUCCUUUGUCUCCAGAACAUCAAUCUGGGUACUGUUCCUAAGAACCCAAUUGGUACAACUUUUUGGAGUUAAUAAAAUUGUAUUCCCACUGGUUUCCAUUGCUGUUUUGUGCACAAUUCCCCACUGAGUAUUUGAUGAAUUUCUACUCCUUGGGGGCCCCAUUUUUUGUGUGAGUUUGCUGAGGAUCCAUGCGUCUUGUCACAGGGAGGAAGAUGAUUUCCUCUGAUAACAUUCCCCUGGUACCUGAGGAGCUUAUCACAGCCCUUUAUUUGGCUGUUUCUGUUAUGUUGGCAUGCGUCCAGAGCAAUGGGAAAGAAAAGGUUGUGCUUUUACAGGGAACAUUUUAUUCCCUCUUGGGAAAAGUGAACAUGACUCAAUGUCAGGAAGGGAAAUUUUUCAUUCAGAUAAAGAGAAUGAACAUCCGCCUACCUCUUUUAAUAGUUAAAACACAUUUACGGUCCGUUUGCAUUUUGUUUUCUUGAAGAGCUCAAAUUAUUUUAGAAAAUCUGAUUUAUUGAAACCAGACCUGCACCAGCUUGUUUUGUGUGUGAAGAGGGACUAUUUUUCAUUUCUCAAGAGACCUGUGUGGUGAGGGGGGCCAAGAUGGUGAGGUCAGGUUGGAUAUGGGUGGGUGGGGGAAGAUUUCUGAAAUAAAGAACCAAAAACUGGGUGCAAGCUGGACUUUCUCCCUAAUGAGAGAAGCCAAGAGGGGAAUGAAAAUUAUUAAAGAUUGAUCGGGUAAGGCAUUUGAACUUAUCAAUAGGUUUCAACCUAUUGGAUUGCUAUUAAAUAGUCACAAAAACUGCAUCCUGAUUUUUGAAGGUGAUGGAUAUUGGAAGGGACUUGGGCAAAUCCAACCCUGAGUUUACCUUUGUAAAUUUAUCAUUUGUCAUUCAUUUGAAAAUCUCAACUCCUUAAUAGAACUGUAAGUCUCCAGAGAGCAUAGAGUCUGUGUUUCCUUUUAUUAAAAAAUGACUUCUUGUUCUAUUCCUCAGAGUACCCAGCUUAGCUCUGAGUAUGUCCUCAGUAACAUUGUAGUUGUCUCAAUAUAUGUAUUUUAAAUUGACUGCUGUAUUAUCUAAAGAUAGAGACUCACUGGCUCUAAUUCAGCAGUUCCUGUGGGCACCAGCGAGGCGCCUAUACACUGGAUUAAGGACAGUAUAAUAUUUUGCUUUAACGUCUCUGUAAUAAAAAUUUAUGUUUGCUGAUGAUCAAGGCAGAGAAAAUUUUUUUGUUCCUUGUUUUCUCCAGACUGGUUUUUGUGUGAGUCCAGAAUCAAGGAUGCCUCUUGUUGCAGAGACUACUGAGAGGUGACAGUGUGCUGGCAGUCCUCACAGCUGUCGCUCGCUCUCGGCACCUCCUCUGCCUGGGCUCCCACUUUGGCGGCACUUGAGGAGCCCUUCAGCCCACCGCUGCACUGUGGGAGCCCCUUUCUGGGCUGGCCAAGGCCAGAGCCGGCUCCCUCAGCUUGCAGGGAGGUGUGGAGGGAGAGGCGCCAGCGGGAACCGGGGCUGCGCACGGCGCUUGCGGGCCAGCUGGAGUUCCGGGUGGGCGUGGGCUUGGCGGGCCCCGCACUCGGAGCAGCCGGCCAGCCCUGCAGGCCCUGGGCAAUGAGGGGCUUAGCACCCGGGCCAGCGGCUGCGGAGGGUGUACUGGUUCCCCCAGCAGUGCCAGCCCACCGGCGCUGUGCUCGAUUUCUCACCGGGCCUUAGCUGCCUUCCCGCGGGGCAGGGCUGGGGACCUGCAGCCCGCCAAGCCUGAGCCUCCCACCCGCUCCAUGGGCUCCUGUGCGGCCGGAGGUUCCCGACGACCGCCACCCCCUGCUCCACGGCGCCCAGUCCCAUCGACCACCCAAGGGCUGAGGAGUGCAGGCGCACGGCACCAGGACUGGCAGGCAGCUCCACCUGCAGCUCUGGUGCGGGAUCCACUAGGUGAAGCCAGCUGGGCUCCUGAGUCUGGUGGGGACGUGGAGAACCUUUGUAUCUAGCUCAGGGAUUGUAAACGCACCAAUCAGGGCCCUGUCAAAACAGACCACUGGGCUCUACCAAUCAGCAGGAUGUGGGUGGGGCCAGAUAAGAGAAUAAAAGCAGGCUGCCUGAACCAGCAGUGGCAACCCACUGGGGUCCCCUUCCGCACUGUGGAAGCUUUGUUCCUUCGCUCUUUGCAAUAAAUCUUGCUUCUGCUCAGUCUUUGGGUCCACACUGCUUUUAUGAGCUGUAACACUCACUGUGAAGAUCUGCAGCUUCACUCCUGAAGCCAGCGAGACCACGAGCCCACCGGGAGGAACGAACAACUCCAGACGCGCUACCUUAAGAGCUGUAACACUCACCGUGAAGGUCUGCAGCUUCACUCCUGAGCCAGCGAGACCACGAACCCACCAGAAGGAAGAAACUCCGAACACAUCUGAACAUCAGAAGGAACGAACUCCAGACGCGCCACCUUAGGAGCUGUAACCCUCACCGUGAGGGUCCGCGGCUUCAUUCUUGAAGUCAGUGAGACCCAAAAACCCACCAAUUCUGGACACACUACUACUUGACCUCCAAUAUCUAUUUUUUACAUCUGCCUUCUUUAGUAAUUCAGCUUCCUUCUGAUUUUUUUCCCCAGGGCUCAUGCCAACCUAGAAUAUGUAUUAUACUCCCCAGCCUCCCUUACAGUUAGAUGUGGCUACACAACUCGGUUCUGGGCAAUGGAGUGUAUGUGGAAGUGCAACUUUUGCAUAUAGGAUACUGUCCUUUAUGGAAAGGGGAAAGCCGUUCUUCUCUGCUUUCUUACACCCUGCUGCCUGGAGUGUGGAUGUAAUGGCUGGAGCUCCCAGGCCUAUCAAGGACCAUGUUCUUGGGAAUGGAAGCUGUGCAUACAGAACAAGAUAGAAGAAGCUUUACAUUUUGACACCAUGGAGCUUCCAUAUAACCAACCUCUGGACUGCUCGCCUCUUGAAUCCCAUCUGAGGGAGGAAUAAACAACUAUAUUGUUUAAGUUUUCUUUUGGCUUUUAAUUCUAGUUAGAAUCUAAUUUGAACUAAUAUGGUCCCCUGAGCCAAUAAUCUGUAUUCUGUUAUAAACCGCAAUUCUGUUGUAUAAAGCAUCUUUUUUUUAUACAACAGAGAAGUUCCUGAACUUUUUUUGGUAAGUUUGAAGAUAUUUUAAAUAUAAUAAUAGGGGUUACACUUUAAAGAAACCAUAUAGCAAAUUCUUUUAUAAAGGAUUUACAUUUUUUUAUUACAAAAAUGUUUUAAGUGCCAAAUCCUAGAAUGGGGGGAAAAAAAAGACAUUAGUGGAACUAUUGAUGAGACCUAAAUAAAGUCUGUAGUCUGGUUAA